rnacentral:rRNA from 1 species
CGAGCGGCGGACGGGUGAGUAAUGCUUGGGAACAUGCCUUGAGGUGGGGGACAACAGUUGGAAACGACUGCUAAUACCGCAUAAUGUCUACGGACCAAAGGGGGCUUCGGCUCUCGCCUUUAGAUUGGCCCAAGUGGGAUUAGCUAGUUGGUGAGGUAAUGGCUCACCAAGGCAACGAUCCCUAGCUGGUUUGAGAGGAUGAUCAGCCACACUGGAACUGAGACACGGUMMAGACUCCUACGGGAGGCAGCAGUGGGGAAUAUUGCACAAUGGGCGCAAGCCUGAUGCAGCCAUGCCGCGUGUGUGAAGAAGGCCUUCGGGUUGUAAAGCACUUUCAGUCAGGAGGAAAGGUUAGUCGUUAAUACCGGCUAGCUGUGACGUUACUGACAGAARAAGCACCGGCUAACUCCGUGCCAGCAGCCGCGGUAAUACGGAGGGUGCGAGCGUUAAUCGGAAUUACUGGGGCGUAAAGCGUACGCRGGCGGUUUGUUAARCGAGAUGUGAAAGCCCCGGGGCUCAACCUGGGAMCUGCAUUUCGAACUGSCAAACUAGAGUGUGAUAGAGGGKGGUARAAUUUCAGGGUGUAGCGGUGAAAUGCGUAGAGAUCUGAAGGAAUACCGAUGGCGAAGGCVGCCMCCUGG